rnacentral:rRNA from 1 species
AGUGAACGCUGGCGGUAGGCCUAACACAUGCAAGUCGAACGGCAGCACAGUAAGAGCUUGCUCUUACGGGUGGCGAGUGGCGGACGGGUGAGGAAUACAUCGGAAUCUACUUUUUCGUGGGGGAUAACGUAGGGAAACUUACGCUAAUACCGCAUACGACCUACGGGAGAAAGCAGGGGAUCUUCGGACCUUGCGCGAUUGAAUGAGCCGAUGUCGGAUUAGCUAGUUGGCGGGGUAAAGGCCCACCAAGGCGACGAUCCGUAGCUGGUCUGAGAGGAUGAUCAGCCACACUGGAACUGAGACACGGUCCAGACUCCUACGGGAGGCAGCAGUGGGGAAUAUUGGACAAUGGGCGCAAGCCUGAUCCAGCCAUACCGCGUGGGUGUAGAAGGCCUUCGGGUUGUAAAGCCCUUUUGUUGGGAAAGAAAAGCAGCAGGUUAAUACCCCGCUGUUCUGACGGUACCCAAAGAAUAAGCACCGGCUAACUUCGUG